GGAGCCUCAAUGUGGUACGUCAAUAGUUUCAUCUAUUCCAGAAUCAGUUGACAAUGAUAAUACUUCAACAAAUAUGAGUGAUUUGAAAAGAUAAGCAAUCAUAGCGAAGUAUAAAAAACAAAAGGCACAAGUUUUUGGUGAUGGCAAUAUGUCAGAAUUAGACAAGUAUCUUAAUGAAAUAGUUGAAGAAUAUUGUGAUACUUUUGACAUUUUGGGAUGGUGGAAGCAAAAUUGUCACAGAUUUCCUAUCCUUUCUCAAAUUGCUCAUGAUGUAUUAGCUAUUCCGAUAUCGACAGUUGCUUCAGAAUCCGCUUUCAGUACUAGUGGUCGGGUACUUGAUUGUUUUAGGAGUUCAUUGACUCCUAAUGUGGUAGAAAGUCUUAUUUGUACUCAAGAUUGGCUUCGGUUAAAUUUACAAUCACUCAACGUUGAAGAAAUUUUAGAGGAUGUGGAAAAACUUGAAAAUGAUUUCUCAAAAAUCAUAAUGGACUCGUCUUCUUCGACAACACCGGUGACAUAAGGAUCAAUGGUUUAUUUGGAAAGGAUUGCUAAGGACACAUAGCUAUGUUGGGGUUGACCUUGCUGCUUUCUGUUUUGAUGUUGCUCUCUGCUGUAUACGUGAAAGCUGCCAUCCAAAUUAUGAAUUUUUUAUCUUGAUGUAACCAAACAAUUGUGUGAAGUUUUUUGUAUGUC